UUUUUUUUUUUUUUUGUUUAUUUGGUUAUUAGACUAAGCUUAAAGUUUCCUUCAAACUUCCAACGUACCUUUAAAAAAGGAUCAAUUCAUAACAUAGCUCAACUAAGUAGAUUUAAGCAGCCUACGUACUUUGUACAAUAUAGGGGUCAAAUCAUAACAUAUUACAAUUAUAUGUUUCUUUUUUGUCGUUCACCUUUUAAGUUCAUGUGGGGCUAGGAGAGCACUAUGCAGUUUGGCCUCUUACAAUAAGGAGCUUUGCGUAUUUAGCAGCUCAUAUUUUCAUGAAGGAUUUGUUGAGUUUCUUCACUUAUAGGAUUGGUCAAUAUAAUAAGUCUUGACUUCAAAAUAAUCUUUUGUAUAUAUGUCAACAACUUUCUCUUCAUGCAUGAAGAGACACGACUGUAAAUUGGCUCAUCGUUGUUUUCUUCAUGAAAUAGUUUUACCUUCAAAAUUUUCAUCUUUCUUUCAUGCUGAUCGAUUGUCAUCUUUAGACAAUCAAAAGCAGAUGUUGAAGGUCAAUCUUUCUUUAACGUGAAUAUAUUUCAUCUUUUAAAAACUGAAGUUCAAGUAAACCUAGAAGUUGAAGCUUGGUUUUCCUCAUCUAUUGUGACCAUACUCAAUCUUUGAAAAAUUGAAGAUCAAGUGUUGAAGGCUUGAUAUGAUCGAAGAUAGAAGUUAUGUGCUCGAUUUCCUUUGAAUCGUCUCUUUCUUUAGCAUUUAUAUGGUUACUGUCAAAUUCUGCUAUGCUGACAGCAUGACUUCUAAUACUUAUCAUCGCAAAAGUUUCUUGGGAGAAAUUAUGCUAAAGUUACUAGUCGUUAAGGUUAGGGAAAUUCUUUAUCUUCUUCCUUAAGAAGUUUAGGCUUCCAUCCCCUUUAGUUUCUUUUCUUUAUUUGGCUCUUGUGCUUAUUCUUCUUUAAUAUGGUUGGAGAAACGACUUCUUUUUGGUGGAAUUUGACUUUUCUUUCUUUGGAUGUGUCACGAAGAUCAAUCCUUUGCCAUCAUCUUCAAUAGGCUCAUUUUUGUUUUGGGAGUCUGUAAUCUCGAGUUUUUGUUGGAAUCGAACAACUAUAGGUUCAAAGGUCUCAAACUGAAUCAAGGUUUCUUUUUUAUUGUAAGGCACAACAAAUGGUGGAACACUUGAAUUUAUCGCCACUGCACAUGAUUCGUCUGCCGUAUCUCAUUAAUAUCAAACUUAAUCUUCUUUUCACGAGCUAACUUUAGAAUCAACUCUUUCAGCAUGAAACACUUUUCAAUUGGAUGAUUAACUACUUGAUGAUACUUGGAGUAGUUAGAAUCAUUUACUUUUCCUUCUUGUUUCGAUCGUUUACAUUUUGACAAUUGAAUAAGUUGCUUUUCUAGCAGCUGCUUUAACAUGUCUACACCAUUAGAGUUAGGAAAUGGAUAAACUUUUUCCUAUCUUUCUUUCAAAGUUAGACAACGUCUCUCACCUCUAUUAUCUUCCUUUUCGAAUUUUUUCUUUUUCUUUAGGGAAAGAUUUUAAUGGAGUCACAUGAACAACUAUAGAUUAUUUUUUGACACUAUUCGUGAUUUUUUCAGUGUCGUCAUUGACUUCAUUCUUGUCAUUCCUUAUUUUUGAAACAAAAAAAUCUUUUGCUCUCCGGUUGGCAAUGCUUAGCUCUAGAUCAUGGACACAAGUUUUCAGUUCUUCAAAUGUACAAGGUUUUAUGCCUUGCAAAAUAUAUAGAGGCUCCUAGUGCAUGCCUUGGGUGCACAUCUCCACUACAGAUAGUUCAUUUAGUUUAUCUUUACAAUGUAAACUUAGAGCUCUCCAUUGAUUUACGUAAUGGCUCUCUCUUCCAGUGUUUGGUAUUUGUUAGCUUUUUCAUUCUAACGAUACGCCUAGUGUUAUAGAAGCAGUUUAGAAACUCUCUUUCUAAUGGUUUCCAAUUGUCAAUCACUUCGGGCUCUAGAUCGGUGCACCACUUGAAGACAUUUCCCUUUAAACGUAACUUUGAACAAACUGCCUGACUGGUUGGUCUCCUCUUGAUCCUGCGUUCUUGCUUGUUUCAAGAAAGUGGACAAUAUGUUGCUUCAGGAUGCCUUUUCUAUUGAACUGUUAGAACUUUGGAGGUUGGUAUCUAAAAGGCAUUCUCAGAUCAUCGAUUCUCUUGGUAUAUGGCUUGGAACAUAAAAGAAGCUUGUGGUGUUCCUCCAUACUGAGCCCUUAUGGAGCUUGUGAUCAUAUCCUGCCGUUGUUGGACUAACAGGUAGAUGACAAAGAUGGACUGUUGCGCUUGAUUUUUCUGUUGCACAACUUUUUCUUUGUCAUUAGCUUUGACAGUGGGAGUUUGGCUUGACUUAGAAGUUUCACAAGCCUUCAUUUGAUCUCUCAAGCCAACGAUUUCAUGAUCUCGCUCUUUGACAAGUUUCAUUAGGAGAUUUCUUUUCCUCUCUAUCUCUGCCAUGGCUGCCUCAGUUGUUACAUCUACCAUCAUGAUAGACACUACUUUAAGGUGUGAUUCUUUCUAUGAUAGAUCGAAAACAAGAGUAUAGUUGUCGAACAAAGGAUUCUCUCUGAUUACGAUUACGAUUCCACUUUUAGAAAAUUUCAUCAAUUGUUCUUGGAUGAUCCUCUUUGAGUGACUUCAAGUGUCAGGUCCCAUGCAAAAGUUGUUUGCAACAAUUUUUCUAGAUGCAAUUUUCUUUAGUGUUAUUGGUUGGUUUGUUGAUUUGGAUUUUGAUAGAAAGAUAUCCCACGGAACGUGUCAAUUUAUUUAAAAAAGAGUUUUAGAGAAACUUGUUUUGUGGAGUUGAUGUUGUAUUUGUGUUGAUUUGAUUAUAUGUGGUUCGAUCUCUAGUACUUGAUUUUAUAACUCUCUUUUCAGUUGAAUGCGUACACUUGAUUUGAAGAAGUGGAACACGUGAUGUUCUUGAAGUUGGAGUUUUGGAAGAAAGCUUGUAUCCACAGGAACUUUAACUUUCGAUUAUAGUCAACUUCAGAAGUUUAGGAGUUUUCUGGUUGUUGGGAGAACUCUCUCUAGACCUUAAUAAAAUUUUCUGAACCCCAUAAAUGAAGAGAAUUCAUCUAUUUACAGAGUUCUUAGGUGAGCAUUGUGGCCUAGAGCUUGGUUGAUCCAUGGAUCUGGCUCUCUAAGCCUAACCAUAUUAACUUGGGUCUUAUUUAGCAUUUGACUUAAAUUAAGCCUAUUUUUUUUGGGUUAAUUGAACUUUAGGCCAAAUAAUAACAUUUAAUUGGAUCAAAAUAGUUAAUUUCAUCCAACCAUUGUCAUGAAAACACUUUGCGUCAUUGUGAUGAAAAUAACCAGUUUGUGGUUUCAAUUUCAAUUUAGGACACAUAUCAUCUUUUAAUUUGUCCAAACUUUAACUAUUUAAGAAAUGUCACGAUAAUUUGUGAUUAGUCCAAAAUUUCUCAUUCAAGAGAUAUUCUUUUAUUAAUCAAAUAACAAAUGAACUUAACAAUAAAUUAGUUUACAUUAAAUGAAAUUGAUCCCUAACAUUUAGUUAGUAAUUAUUUGAUGGAAAUUUUUUAAAAAUAGUAGAAUUUAUAAAAUAUUUACAACCUAUAGCAAAUUCUAUCAUUGAUAGUCAUUGAUAUGUCAGAAGACUAUCGAUGAUAGAAUCCAAAAUUUUGCUAUAGCUUAUAAAUAUUUAAAUUUAUUUUUCUAUUUUUAAAAAUGCCCCAUAUUUAAUUUUAUGUUUUUCAAAUUAUUGAAUUGAAUACAAAUAUUUAAUUGAUAUUAAUUAUCAUGCACAUUCAAACAUAUACAUUAAUGGACUGACUAGGGAUAUAACAUUUUAAUAUAAAUUAAUUAAGGAUAUAGCAAAAGUUUAAAGUUUAAACAAAUUGCAAAUAUGGUAAAUCUUAAGUACAACACAAGGUUAAAGACCAAAAUGCCCCUACGCUAGGGAGAAGAUCCAUUUCACGCUUCCACCACUUCGUAUUCCGAUUUCAAAAUAGUCUUUCUACUAUUUCUUCAUCUUCCACUCCUGAUGCCUUCACGCUUCCGUCACUUCACAUUUUCCUUCCAUCUUCCACUUUCAUUUGGUCUUCGAUACCUUCCUUUCAUCGUCCACGUUGUUUUUGAUUUCUCCACUUCAUCAUCUAUAAACUUCGUUGCUUUUCGUUUGAAAUCCUAACUUAUUUUCGUUCUUCCUGUAUUUUUAUUUUCCAUUUGGUUGUAAUAUUUUUGAAAUAGAUUUUCUUUCGUUUUGUAUUUCUUUGAAAUCGAUUUCUUCAUUUCCUGUUUGGUUAUGCUCUGUUUGUUUUUCAAUUUGUGUGUUGUUACUCAAGUUAAAAUCUAUAAGUGAUAUGUUUAUAUCAUUGAUAGACUUGAGGGAUGUUUAGUUUGUUUGCAUUGAGAUGUUAGUAGAUGAUUUAGUUUAAUGUACAUUUUUAUGCGAUGUUGCUUAGGGUCUACCAAUGAUAUGUUUCUAUCACUGAUAGACUGGAGGAUGUUUAGUUUGUUUACAUUGGAAUGUUAGUGGAUACUUUAGUUUAAUGUACAUAUUUUAUAUGUUUUUGUUUAAUGUCUAUUAGUGAUAUGUUUCUACAACUUGAAGAAUGUUUAACUUCUUUGUGUUGAAUUUUUAGUAGAUGUUUUAGUUUAAUGUAUAGUUUUUAUGUGAUGUUACUUAGUGUCUAUCAGUGAUAUAUUUCAUCUUGAUAGACUUGGAUGACGCUUAACUUGUAAUUUGCGUUUGGAUGUUAGUAGAGGCUUUAGUUUAAUGUGCAUUUUUUAUGUGAUGUUGCUUAGAGUCUAUCAAUUCUAUGUUUCUAUCAUUGAUAGAUUUGGGAUUUGGAAGAUGUUUAACUUAUUUGCAUUGGGAUGUUAGUAGAUGUUUUAGUUUAAUGUGCAUUUUGUAUAUGUUAUUGCUUAUGCUCUAUCAGUGAUAUGUUACUAUUACCGAUAGACCUAGAUGAUGUUUAGUUUGUUUGCACUAGCGUGUGUUAGUAAAUAUUUUAGUUUGUGUAUUUAUUUAUGUAAUGUUUCUUAAAGGCUAUCAAUGUGUUCUAUCAUUGAUAGACUUGGAAUAUUCUGUUUAGCUUGUUUACAAUGGGAUGUUAGAAGAUACUUUAGUUUAAUGCACAUUUUUUAUGUGAUGUUGCUUAAAGGUUGUCUUUCAGUGAUUUGUUUUUAUCACUUAUAGACUUAGAGGAUGUUUAGGUUGUUUGCAAUGAGAUGUUAGUAGAUACUUUAGUUUAAUAUGCAUUUUUUUUUAUUUAUUGUUGCUUAGGGUCUAUCAGUGAUAUAUUUCAAUCGUUGAUAGACUUGAAAGAUGCUUAGCUUGUUUGACUUGGAAAGUUAGUAGAAACUUUAGUUUAAUGUGCAUUUUGUGUGGGAUGUUGCCUAUGGUCUAUCAGUGAUAUGUUUGUAUCACUGAUAGACUUGAGGGAUGUUAAGUUUGUUUGCAUUGGGAUGUUAGUAGAUAAUUUAGUUCUAUCAGUGAUAUGUUUUCAUGAACUUGAAAGAUGUUUAAUAUGUUUGUGUUGGGAUUGUUAUUAGAUGUUUUAGUUCAAUGUCAAUUUUUUUAUUUGUUGUUGCUUAUUAAGGGUUUAUCGGUGAUAGAUUUCAAUCAUUAAUAGACUUGGAAAAUGUUUAGCUUGUUUGACUUGAAAAGUUGGUCGAAGCUCUAGUUUAAUGUGCAUUUUUUUGUGUAGGAUGUUGCUUAUGGUCUAUCAGUGAUAUGUUUCUAUCACUGAUUGAUAGGUUUGGAGUAUGUGGAACUUGUUUAUGUUGGGAUGUUUAACUUACUUCUUCGACAUGCUAAUCUGUUUUAAGUUUGUGUGUUGUUGCUUAGGGUUAUGGUCUAUUAGUAAUACGUUUGUAAUAGUGAUAGACUUGAGGGAUGUUUAGUUUGUUUGCAUUGGGAUGUUAGUAGAUAAUUUAGUUUAAUGACAUUUUUAUGUAUUGUUGUUUAGGUUCUAUCAGUUUUAGUUUAUGUGCAUUUAUUUAUGUGAUGUUUCUUAAAGACUACCAAUGAUAUGUUCUAUCAUUGAUAGACUUGGAAUAUGUUUAGCUUGUUUGCAAUGAGAUGUUAGGAGAUACUUUAGUUUAAUGUGCAUUUUUUAUGCGAUGUUGCUUAAAGGUCUUUCAAUGAUUGGUUUCUAUCACUUAUAGACUUAAAGGAUGUUUAGCUUGCUUGCAAUGGGAUGUUAGUAGAUAUAUACUUUAGUUUAUUGUGUAUUUUUUAUGUGUUGUUACUUACGGCCUUUUAGUGAUAGGUUUCUAUGACUAAUAGACUUGAAAGAUGUUUAGAUUGUUUCCAUUAUAAUAUAUAUUUAUAAACCCUAAUUCAAUAUUAUCAUUUCAGGUCAUUCAAGAAAAGAAAAGAAAAAUGAAAACUAUGGAAAUAGCGAAAAAUGUUAAAAAUGUUAGGACACCAAAGAGACAACUUAACUGAUCAAAUAAAAUGUUGGAGAAUGCAAAAGACUAAAACAUUGCUGGAGAAUGAUUCAUCUGUUCCUAGUUUUGAUUUGCAACUCUCUCAUUGAGUAAAUGAAUAUUGUACUAUAUUAAUUUUGUGGAUAUUUCAUGAUAGAAUAGAUUAAUGAUAAACUUCACAUUUUAUUUGAUUUUAUUCUUUUGAUAUAGAAAAGUGUUGAAUCAUAGGUUGAAUAUCGCAAAUUUAUAUUCUUAAAUAGUCUGAUUCUUCAAUGAAUGUUAAAGUUUAUUAAUAAUAAACCAUAAGAGUAAAAUUUGUUGUUGUCACAUUACCUCUUCAUAUUUAGUUAUGCGCCUUAUUGAGAAAUUAGUAUUAUUGAUGUUGAAUCCUUGCAAUUUGGUAUUAGUGUGAGCAUUUUAUUGAGAAAAAGUUUUGUUAAUAUAAUGAAUCCUAUGAAUCAAAUUAAAUCGAUACAAUCAACUCCCAGUUUGCAAAGUAGCCCGUUUCCCGCUCUUAUAAAACGGCAGAAACAGGCAUCGAAAAUUUUUGGAGUGCUCAAAAUCCCAUAUCAAUAGAUUCAUUACUUCAAUGAUUUUUAAUCUAUGCUUCUUCGAAGGAAUGGAUCUGGAAGUAACAUAAUGAAAGAUCUCCACGUUCUUUUCAACCCAAGGAUCGCUUUUUUCAGUUCAAUGUUUUCUUCAUCAUCACCUCCGAUUUCAUUUCUGGAAACCCAUUUCAUCGAUCUAAUUCAUGCGUCCAAUUCAACCCACAAGCUCCGUCAGAUCCAUGGUCAACUCUAUCGCUGCAACGUCUUCUCCAGCAGCCGGGUUGUGACCCAGUUCAUCUCUUCCUGUUCUUCGCUAAAUUCUGUCGACUAUGCCAUUUCCAUCUUUCAGCGGUUCGAGUUGAAGAACAGUUACCUUUUUAAUGCGUUAAUUCGAGGACUCGCUGAAAAUUCCAGGUUCGAGAGCUCAAUUUCUUUCUUUGUUUUGAUGCUAAAGUGGAAAAUUAGCCCUGAUAGGCUUACUUUUCCGUUUGUGCUGAAAUCAGCGGCGGCUCUUUCCAAUGGUGGCGUUGGGAGGGCUUUGCAUUGUGGGAUUUUGAAGUUUGGUCUUGAGUUUGAUUCUUUUGUGAGGGUUUCGUUGGUUGAUAUGUACGUGAAAGUUGAGGAGUUGGGUUCUGCCUUGAAGGUGUUUGAUGAAAGUCCUGAGAGUGUUAAGAAUGGAAGUGUGUUGAUUUGGAAUGUUCUUAUUCAUGGGUAUUGUAGAAUGGGGGAUUUAGUAAAAGCUACGGAGCUAUUCGACUCAAUGCCGAAGAAGGACACGGGAUCUUGGAACAGUUUGAUCAAUGGUUUCAUGAAAAUGGGGGACAUGGGUCGAGCAAAGGAACUGUUUGUUAAAAUGCCUGAAAAAAAUGUUGUUUCUUGGACCACAAUGGUGAAUGGAUUUUCACAGAAUGGAGACCCUGAAAAGGCACUGGAAACUUUCUUUUGUAUGCUUGAAGAAGGCGCUCGGCCAAAUGAUUACACAAUUGUCUCCGCACUUUCAGCUUGUGCAAAAAUUGGUGCAUUAGAUGCUGGUUUAAGGAUUCAUAAUUAUCUUUCAGGCAAUGGUUUCAAACUAAAUCUAGUUAUUGGAACUGCUCUGGUGGAUAUGUAUGCAAAAUGUGGAAAUAUUGAGCAUGCAGAAAAAGUGUUUCAUGAAACAAAAGAAAAGGGCCUUCUUAUUUGGAGUGUUAUGAUCUGGGGCUGGGCAAUCCAUGGACAUUUUAGGAAAGCCUUACAAUACUUUGAAUGGAUGAAGUUUACAGGUUUGAUUUCAUAUUGUGAUUGUUAUCUCUGAGUUUAAUAUUUUGCUGUUUAUAAACUCAAAUCUCAGCAUGUUUGCAGGAACAAAGCCAGAUAGUGUGGUCUUUCUUGCUGUUCUUAACGCAUGCUCCCAUUCUGGACAAGUAAACGAAGGACUUAAGUUUUUCGACAAUAUGAGGCGCGGCUACUUGAUUGAACCUUCUAUGAAGCAUUACACAUUGGUUGUAGACAUGCUAGGCAGGGCUGGCAGACUAGAUGAAGCUCUAAAGUUCAUACGUGCGAUGCCCAUAACUCCUGAUUUUGUGGUGUGGGGUGCUCUAUUUUGUGCAUGUAGGACUCAUAAGAAUGUUGAAAUGGCAGAACUAGCAUCCAAAAAGCUUCUUCAGCUUGAACCCAAGCAUCCGGGGAGUUAUGUAUUUUUGUCAAACGCAUAUGCUUCAGUAGGGAGAUGGGACGAUGCGGAGAGAGUGAGAGUUUCUAUGCGAGAUCACGGUGCACACAAAGAUCCAGGAUGGAGCUUUAUUGAAGUGGAUCAUAAAUUACAUAGAUUUGUGGCUGGAGAUAACACUCAUAACCGUGCUGUAGAGAUAUACUCAAAAUUAGAUGAGAUAAGUGCAAGUGCAAGGGAAAAGGGAUACACGAAAGAAAUUGAGUGCGUACUUCAUAAUAUUGAAGAGGAAGAAAAGGAAGAAGCAUUGGGAUAUCACAGUGAGAAGUUGGCACUUGCUUUUGGGAUCGUCAGUACGAGGCCCGGAACGACUGUUAGGAUAGUGAAAAACCUUAGAGUUUGUGUGGAUUGCCAUUCUUUCAUGAAAUAUGCCAGUAAAAUGAGUAAGAGGGAGAUCAUUUUGAGGGAUAUGAAGCGAUUCCAUCAUUUCAAUGAUGGUGUUUGUUCAUGUGGAGAUUAUUGGUAAAGAAUUGUUGAUCAGAGAGUGGAACUGCGGAUGCUUUCAAGAACACAUACAAACUAACAAUUGCAGCCUCUUUGCAUUAACGGUUUGAUGCCCUAAAAACAAUAAUGGCUUCUGAGAAGUAAAAGAUCCCUUAAUCAUCCAAGUUCUUGACUGCCGAUAUGAUUCUAUGCACAUCUCAUUUUGAUCUCACUGCAGGUGAACAACAUUGUCCGCACUUUCACAAAAAAAAAAAAAAGAAGUGUUGAUUUAUGUAUGUAUGUAUGUAUGUAUGUAUGUAUAUAUAUAUAUAUAUAUGUAUGUAUGUAUGUAUGUAUAUAUAUAUGUAUAUAUAUGUAUGUAUGUAUGUAUCAAUAUGUAUGUAUGUAUGUAUAUAUAUGUAUGUAUGUAUGUAUGUAUAUGUAGAUAUAUAUGUAUGUAUGUAUGUAUAUAUAUAUGUAUGUAUGUAUAUAUAUGUAUGUAUGUAUGUAUGUAUAUGUAGAUAUAUAUGUAUGUAUGUAUGUAUAUAUAUAUGUAUGUAUGUAUAUAUAUGUAUGUAUGUAUGUAUCUAUAUGUAUGUAUGUAUAUAUAUAUGUAUGUAUGUAUGUAUAUAGAUAUAUAUGUAUGUAUGUAUAUAUAUGUAGAUAUAUAUGUAUGUAUGUAUGUAUAUAUGUAUGUAUGUAUGUAUAUAGAUAUAUGUAUGUAUAUAUAUAUAUGUAUGUAUAUGUAUGUGAAUAUAUAUAUAUAUAUAUAUAUGUAUGUAUAUGUAUGUGAAUAUAAAUUAAUUUCUUUUCCCAACUACUGCUCUCUCCCUCCCUUUCUUCACAUCAGAUUCACCGCCUCUCUCUCUUCCUUUCGACACUCUCCCUUUCACCUCACGGCUAACUCACCUUUAAACAUACAAGUUUGUUCGAUUUCAAAAACCAAACAUACAUAGUAAUAAAAAUUAUUUAUUAAAUAUCGCAAAAAUUAUCUAAUUUUUUAUAAUUUAUUUAAGUUUUAUUUUUGUUAUAUUUUGUUUAUAGAUUCGGAAUAUUUUUCCUAUUUUCUUAUAAGUUCAUAAAUUCUUAAUUAUCACUCCCCACCAUUAAAGUUCUAACCUAAUAUUCCACACAAAAGGACAAACGCCAAGAAAGAAAGGGAAUGUAUCCAAUUCAUGAAUUUAUCUCCAUACAUGCAUCUGUAACUCAUGCACUAGUCUAUACAUGCAUCUGUAACUCAUGCACUAGUCUUUCCUAAACUGCAAUUCCAGAUCUGAAAUUUAAAUGGAAGAAUAGACAAACAGAGCACCAAGCAGCAAGGGCGGCAAUGGUGGUACUCUAUGUAAUAGCCGUUAUUUGCUUCUUCAUUUUUCUUCACCUCUUCGAAUCGCUAUUCUUGAAACCGGAAAGACUACGAUCGAAGCUCCGUCGACAAGGAAUCGACGGUCCUUCCCCUUCUUUCUUCCUCGGAAACAUACCGGAAAUUAAGAACAUUAGAAGCUUAAAAUCAUUCGAUGAAAAAGAAGAUUCGAUUGCUCAUGGCUGGUCUUCCAAUCUGCUUCCCCAUUUGGAGCACUGGCGGUAUCGAUACGGUAAUUUCUUUAUCUUUAUGUAUAUUAGAUGAUUCCCUGUAGAACUAAUGGUAGGUAUUUAGCUAAACUUGGGUUUGUAAUAAGAGGAGAAGCAACAUAUUAUUAGGGCGUUCAUUUUUCUUUUAUCUUUUAGAAAAUUUCAUUUUUAGUUUGGAUGAAUACGAGUGUGUUUGGUCCACUCCUCUAACAUUUUAGCUCUCAUGUUUAUCAAAUUAAUUAGUGUUAGAAUUUUCAUAAUCUACUUUUUUAGUUUAUGAAUUUCUAAAAAUAAGCUUAUGCGGACUCAUAUUUAAAAUCAGAAAAAUUAGUUUGAAGGAAAAUAAUUUUUUAAUUUAAAAGGUCAUUGAAUAAAAUCAAGACUAUUUUUAAAAACUUGAAAGGCUAAAAGUGUAUAUUUUUAAAAUUCAGAAACCAAACACUUAUUUUUCCAAACUUUAGAACCAAAGAAGGUAAUUUUUUUUUCUUUGAAAUUUAAGAUAAAAAAGACUAGGGUAAACAUGUUGAAACCAAAAUGGGGAUGAAAAUGGAAGAGUGAAAAUUAAAAAGGGUGUCUGAGGAUGAAAUAUUAGUGAUUGGUGGAUUUUAGGAAGAAACUUCGUGUAUUCGAGCGGGACGGUUCAAAUAUUGUGCAUAACAGACGUUGAGAUGGUGAAGGAAAUUGGUAUGUCAACCAAUUUAAGUUUGGGAAAGCCUGCCCACUUUUCAAAGGAUCGUGGGCCGUUAUUGGGCCUUGGCAUUUUGGCAUCAAGUGGCCCACUUUGGGUCCACCAAAGGAAAACUAUUGCUCCUCAACUCUAUCUUGAUAAAGUCAAGGUAAAAUAUCAUUUCUUCAUACUCCACUUUUUUUUUUCUUCUUUUUCUUUUUUUUUUUCACUUUGGUUUAUCAAUUUUCAAUUUUGUAUAUGGUUGAUUUAUGAAUUUUAGAAAUUUCAAAUGUUCCGAAUCUUAUUUUUUAACGACUUAUUUUCAAAAUUAAACACUUGAAAAGUUAAAUCAAACCUAUCUUAAAUUUGUAGUUUGAAAGUUUUGGUCCAUUCAUAAACUAAAUUUAUAGUUCAAGUCGAUCAGCUUGACAUGAAAUUAACUAUUGGGUCAAAAUAAUUCGAUAAAAUUUAUUCUCAUUUGUAGUUUAACAGGGAAAGACAAUUAAUUGAUUUUUGGGGCUAAUUAUUCAACAUAUACAAGAGAAGAUAACUGAGAUAUCUUUGAAUCAAUAGGACAUGACAAAUCUUAUGGUGGAAUCUGUAAACUCUAUGGUAAAAUUAUGGGAAACCAUAAUUGAAAAUGGUGGAGGAGAAUCAGAAAUCAAUGUGGAUGGAUAUUUUAGAGCCAUGUCGGCUGAUAUUAUCUCGAAAGCCUGUUUCGGAAGUAAUUUUUAUGAAGGGAAAGAGAUCUUUCAAAAACUCAGAGCUCUUCAAAUUAUCAUGUCCACAGCAACCAUUGGUAUUCCUGGGUUCAGGUAUAUAUGUGGACAACUUGAUUCUCUUACUUCAAGAAAUAUAGUACAUGUUAAUUAUUGUUGUUGUUGAGCUACGUAGACCUUGACACUGAAACCCAUUAUCAAUAAUUUGAUUUAUAUUGUGUGCUUUAGUAACAGAUGUACAUUUUUGUAUGCUAGAUAUCUCCCCACCAAAAACAAUAGAGAAAUAUGGAAGCUUGAGAAGGAAGUAGAAUCAAUGGUUUUGGAUGUGGUAAACAAACGAAUCAAGCAGUGUUCAAACGAAAAAGACUUGUUGCAAAUAAUUAUCGAGGGUGGGAAAUGUCUUAAUAAAGACGGUAACUCGUUGAAGAUAUCUAGAGACAAGUUCAUUGUUGAUAACUGCAAAAACAUAUACUUUGCUGGCCACGAGACAACGUCAAUAACAACAACAUGGUGCUUGAUGUUAUUAGCAAUACACCAAGAUUGGCAAACUCGUGUUCGUUCUGAGGUGCUUGAAUGUUGUCAAGAUCGCACUCUCGACGUUGAGACCAUUAAGAACAUGAAAACGGUAUUCCUACUCAAUAAUAAUGCCCAAACUUUGAAUGACUUAUUGAGUUACAAAGAAUUCAAUUCUUAUUAUCUUAAAUAAUUAAUUUCUUAUUGUCUCUUGCAGUUGACAAUGGUGAUUCAAGAGACACUUAGGCUGUACCCACCAGGAGUUUUUAUCACAAGAGAAGCACUAGAAGACAUAAAAUUCAAAAACAUCACGAUUCCAAAAGGAAUGAACCUUCAGAUUCCAAUCUCGUUGCUACAUCAUAGUGUUGAUAUAUGGGGCCCAGACGCGCUCACGUUCAAUCCCCAAAGGUUCAGUAAUGGUAUCCUCAAAGCUUGCAAAAAUCCGCAUGCUUACAUACCGUUCGGGGUCGGGCCUCACAUAUGCGCGGGCCAACAUCUUGCAAUGGUAGAACUGAAAGUGAUUGUGAGCGUUAUUGUGUCAAAAUUUGAAUUCUCUCUCUCACCUUCUUACAAGCAUUCCCCUUACUUCAGCUUGGUUGUGGAGCCUAAAAAUGGAGUCAUUCUCAAUCUAAGGAAGCUUUGAUCUUUCUCUUAAUUUACUUAGGAUAUGAAAAUCUUGUAGAACUUGUGAAAUAAAUUAGUUUAUUAGAUAUUUACAGGACAGCACAAUUUGGGUUUGAACUUAGAUUGUUUUAAUUGUAUUGUCCUUAGUUACAUCACCUUGUUAGGCUAGCCAGGACAAUUUCUUUAAUCCUUAAUUAUAUAUUUAGUUCUUAAAUUGAAUUUUAUUAUAUUUUCAAGUUGCAUUAAUUAAUUGGACUGAUGGCUAAACAAGAAAAGACUUUAAAUAAUAAAGUUGGUUUGGUUGGUAGGAUAGUAGGAUCUAAAUUCUAUAUUCAAUAUCUUGCUUCUUCAACUCAAUUUGGAGUUGAAAACUUUUGGUAGGAUUUAAUUGUUCUCCAGACUCAUUCUAAAUUUCAUUCAUUAAGAUAUAUAUUUUUAAAUAUAAUAAAACGAAUCAAUUUUUUUAAAAAUAUAUACCAGUAAUUAUUAUUAUUUACAAAAUCUAAAAUUUUGCUAUCUUUUUGUGAUUAUUUUAAUUAAUAUGGCCAUUUACAUUGAUUUUCAUUCAUUAAGAUUUCAAACCCUAUGCUAAAACUCGAAGCAAAUAUAAAGAAACCCAACCCAACCAAAAAUUAUGAUUGGUCAAUGAGAUAAAGUAACUGAAAAUGCAAAUGUAAAUCAUUGGACUCAUCAACAUGUAUAUAACAAGUCAAACAUAUUUUCAAAAUAAAUACCGUUAUAUUUACAUUUUUUUUCUUGAUUUUUUCCCAAAAUAUGGAAGGUUAGUGUUAGAGAUCAGCAACCAAACACUUUAAAACUAGUUUUUGGGAGUUGUUUUGGAAAUUUCUUAAGAAAAUGAUAUAAAAGAAUAAUAUAAUUUUGGGAUUGAGGCCUUUUUUAUUACCUACAUGUGCAUGAAUUAUUUACCAUAAAAAAUACAAACAAAAUUUUGAUGUCGAUCUCAACUGAGAACAAUUAGAAGAAGCACUACUACAAUUUUAAAAAAAAUGCUAUUUUCAAAAGGGAAAACUUAAAUAGGUUAUUUUAGACAAUUUUCCAAUAGAGUUAUACGUAAUCCAUCUUUUCAAAAAUUUUGUUUAAUUUUUGACAGUGUAAUUUUUAAACUUUAGAAAGAUAAAAAAAAAAAAUCAUCUAGCAAAGUUUUCACUUAAAAACCUAAAAGAAUCUAUAGUUUGGAUAUAAGUUAGAAAAAAAAACUUAUUAUAUAAAUUUCAGUGGUCAAAUCGGUUGAAGACGAAAAAAACUAUUAUAAUAAGUUUUUAGAAAAAAUAUUAGUUUUAGAAAGUGAAACUUAGAAAAUGUUAUUUCUGACAAUUUUCAAAUAUCAUAGUUAUCGAAUCAAAUUUUAAUAUUGGAUUUUAAUUUUUGAGGUGUGUUUAUUUUCUCACAUAUUUUUCUUGUGAUUUUCAUGCAUUUUCUGUGCAUGUAUUUGAAUUCUUAACUAAAUAUUUAAAACGACAAAAACAAGUUUCGUAAAACUAUUUUUUUUUCUAAUUUUUAAAUUUUGGCUUUAUAUAGAAAUUUGCAAAUUGUAAUAGUGUUGAUGUGCUUAAUUUUAAAAGAAUAAAAAAAAUCAAGUGAAUAGAUAAUGAAGCCUAAAGAGUUAAAUGCAAUUCUUUAAAACCUAUUUUUGUUUGUUUAUUUUUUUAUAAAAAAAAAGUUGUCUAAACUUAAAAGGAAAAUAAAUUAGAGCUAAUUGUUGUUGAAAUCUAUGAAUUCCAAAAAAGUAAUUAAAUUAAUCAAUGGUUAAUGGUUAAUGGUUAUUUGUGCAUCAGUCAAACUUAUUUUUGAGCAAAAUUAUAUCAUAUUAAAAUUAUUUUUACAUAGAUCUUUACAUCCUUGUCUGUUAUAACUACUGCACAAAUUAACCAAAACUGAAUCUAAAACGUAAAAAUUUGUUACAUAUAUUUAAGUUUAAGGUCUAUCAAAAUUGAUUUUCUCCACUCAUUUUUUUCUUAUACUAUACUUUCGAAAUAUUUUUUAAUUAACGUUGAUCAUGAUUUUUUUUUUCUUUACACAGAAAAGUAGAUUUCAUGAAUUUGAUUUUGAAAAUAUAAACUAGAGUCCUACCAUUUUCCACUAUGUUUAUCAUUUAAUUGCAUGAUCGAUUUUCAAAGUACAAUAAAUAGUAAACCCCAGUGGCCAUACUCACAACUAAGCUUUAAAAGGAAAUUAAUUAGAGACUAGCGGAUGAUUCUGGUCAAUGAUUAAUUAAAGGCUCUAAAGGUUAGUUUUGGAAGAAUAAUUCAAAAAUGGUAGCAUGAGCUUUGACUCAACCCUAUCCGGCCCAUUGUGUUUGAUGUCAUGAUGAUAAGCUAGACAUGCAUACCAAAAAUCGGAUCAAUUUUGGAAAGAUGUAGACGAAAGGCCUAAAUUAACUAUCAUUUUUCACAAAUGUCUUAAAAAUAUAAUUUAUUUUCUUAAUUAGGAAUUUCUAUCCUUUUUUUUGUGACAAUAUUAACCUUUUAAUCAUUAUUAAUUAUAUAUUAUAUUCGUAAUUAUAUUUAAAUUACUUCUUUAUUGACGGUAAUUUUCGUAACUUCCUUAUAUAAAUUUGUAUCCUUAUUAUGGUAAAAAAUUGAAAAUAUUGUUUUAAUGAAGUAUAACAUAAAAUCUUUUCUAAUAUGAAAUUUUAUGUUAAUUACUUGUAACGGUUAACAAUCUUUCAUCUCCAUCACGUGAACAAUCUGGAAAAUUUCAUCCGACGUUGACAGUCCCUACAUAUAUAUACCACAUUAUAUAUACAAUAUGACAUAUAUAAUUAUAUACAGUAAUAAGUUUGGAUUUAUAUAUGUUAUUUAGUAUAUAUACCUCAUAUUAUAUGCAAUAAUAUUUUAUACAUAAUUUCUACCGAAUUUGUGUUUAAAUUAUUUGUUUAUAUUGUAAAUAUUACUAAAACAGUAGUAAAUGAUAUGAUUAUACAUACAUAUUUUUCCUUUAUAAAUGUAUUUGAUUACAUUAUUAUACUUUAAUAUAUCCACAAUCUAUAAUAGUACUGUUUUGUGUUUUAGUAUAUAUAUACCUCAUAUUAUAUACAAUAAUACUAUAUACUGACAUAUAGUUCUAUUAUUUUUUGAUAGGAUGGCCAAAAUGUAGUUCUUCUUCACCGAAUUCUCAAUAAACUCUAGAAUGUAUCACAUUCAAAACUUAAUUUUCGUUUGUUUGCCUAUUUAAUUGAAUAUCUAAAAUAUACCUAUACAUCAAAUGUUUCAUAUGUUUUGAAUAUAUACAAUACUAAGCUCAAAAUUUCUAGCCAGAUCUGUCGGAUAGGUUUUGUAUUUGCCAACCGUUGAAGGUUUCCUUCUUCACCGUCGAAAUCUCAAUAAACUCUAAAAUGUAUCACAUUCAAAACUACAUUUUCAUUUGAUUUUCUAUUUAAUUGAAUAUCUAAAAUAUACCUAAUAUAUCUAAUGUUUCAUCAUAUGUGUUGAAUAUAUACAAUACUAACCUCGAAAUUUCUAAUUACUAGAUUAUGUUCGAGAAGUUUGUAUUUGUCGGCCAUCGAAUUCUUCACCUUUGAACUCUCUAAAAUUUUGAAGUAAAAACCAUAAUCCACGUUGGAAGGACUACAUGGUGGAUUGAAGCUGACUAAUGCAUAAAAGACGUGUAUUGUGCUUAGCAUCCAUAGCAACAAGAAAUGAAUCAGGAAAUUCUUGGAUGUUGUUGAUGAAAAGGACAUCAUGAUAGUCCAAACACGAGAUGAUGAGUCUUGACGUAGGGAAUGAUUUAUGUUCUUGGCGAAAGAAUUGUUUGAGACUAAUGUGUGUUUACACUAUAUGAUUUGAAAUGUUGAUGCUUAUGAGAUGUAUUAUGAAAAGGUUUUCUAAGAACUUUCUCACUAAGUCUUUUGACUUAUGUUUUAGGCUUUCAGUUCUCAUGUAUUUAGGCAUUGAGGCUAAAGUAAGGUUAAAGGGUGAGAAGUUGCUGGGUGAGAAGAGGAUGUCAGGCGUUUAGUUUAAGUUUUAGUAUUAUUUUCUUGUAUCAUGUAAAGUGUUGUAAAAUGCAUAGUAUAAAGUUAAUAAAAGAAAUUAUUUAUCUUAUUCUUUUGUGUUAAGUUGCAUUACAUCGCAAGUGUAAGUUUAAGUUUGUGAAGUCAUCAAGCAAAGAAUAUGUACCUAGGUGAGCGUUCUUGCAUUUUAUUUUAGAAGCACCAGAAUUACUCUAAGUCGCAUCGCAUUUUGCAUGACAAGUGAUGACGCGUGCGGGGCGGGGUGUGACAAUGUCUCUACUUUUAUGUGUCUAUAUGAACGAUUCAAAAUCACAUCAUUUGUACUAAAUACAAAGUAGGUCGUAUCCGUGAUGUUUCCAUAAUAAAGGUGACCAACCAGCAUAUUCAUAUAUUAUAGACCCUUUACGUUAUGUAUUUGAACUUGAUGCAUUUUUGUAUCUUUGCAUAAAGUUCAAGUUUACUCAAGAUAGCCUUGAAACCUUAGUUUAUUAAAUUCAAGACGAUAAUAUUCAAUUUCACUAAUAAUUCUUCGAUAAUAACUUAAUUUAAUAGAAUAUGAUUCUAAACUACAAACUAUAAAUUUUAAGACAUAAAUUCCAACAAACAAGUUUCUCUAAAUUUUUUUUCCGAUAGAUCCCGUUGAACAUGCAUGUGUUAGAUUUUAGACCGUUGAAUUUUGCUUUUUUUUUUAAAUUUAAAUGCUUAACUAGUUUUUUAAUUUGGCUAAUUUAUAGAAAAGUGGAAAUUUCACGUAUGGAAAAAAAACCAAACUAUUUAGGGAAGCAGCCUUUCUCAAAUAAAAAAUUUAAUUAAAGUAUUGUGAUUGGUAUGCUGAAAUGAAUAGAAAUAUUUUUGAAAGCAAUAAAAUAUGUGUUCUUUUCUAAAGAAACAAAUGAUCAAUUAAAUAGAAUACUACACAAUAAAUAAUAUAAAUAAUUAAAUUGAUGUUAAAGUUCAACCGUUAGUUCAUUUAAAUUGUAUUAUUAAAAUCUUGUGUUGAUGAUUGAUCUCAAGGUAUAAUUAAAUAAUAUUUAACUAUUAAAAGUACAACUUAUUAUUUUAUUGUUUACUUAUUAAUUAACUUUUUUUUUUUUUUUUGUUCAUUUUUUAAUAAAAGAGAUUCCAAAAUUUCAUGCUCACGCAUGAGAAUCUUUUUAGGCUUAGAAUACAUACGUCUCCCGAAUCAGUAGUAGUAUAUGUAUGUGUUUUGAAGUACAUUGAUACUUUGUUUGAGUUGGAAAGAUUUAAUUAAAACCUUGAAUUAAAAUUCGAAGUUAAGGUAUCUUUUGAUUUUCUUAACCUAAAUAAUUUUCUUUUCUGGUGGCUAUUUUAAAUGCUUUAAUUUUAUUCAAUCAUUUUAGAGAUUUUUUCAAGAAUAAUAUAAUUUAUUUACACUUCGACAAAAAACAACUCUGGAACAAAAACUUAUAUAUAUAUUUUUAUUGUUGCCUUUUGUUUUCUUUUUGGAUGUAGACAUGCAUUGUUAUGAUUUUUUUUUUCUUUUUUUAGAAAAGAGAGUUUAGGUUUAUUUUGGAUGAAGCUUUUUAAUAUUUUUUAGCAAUCAUUUCAUAAAUUUGUGUAUGGCUUUUCUAAUGAGUGGAGUGUAUACAUGAAUGUAAUUGGCAUAAAAAGAGUAAGUAGGGAAGUGAACAGAGCUUUUUUUUAUGGUAUUUUAUGCAUAUAUAUCGGUGUUGAUAAAAGUCUCAACUGGAUAAGGGGAUGAUGUGUUCAAGGAAAACAACUAUCAUCAAUCCUACAAAGCCUUUUAGGUGAAACAAAAAAUAAAAUCACGAGGGUAUAAACUACCAUAUGAAGAAUUCUUGAUAUCUUCAUUAGAGGUUUCAUUGUAUACGGGAUAAGAGAAUUAAAGAAGAUCUUGAAGAUUUGAUAAAGUCUUUAAAUUUUGAAGCUUCACGCAAGUUUUAGUGUGUGAAUUAUUGGAUGUUUAUUCGAAGAAAUUUGUGUUGCUGAAGAAGGUUGUCAAAGGUACUUUAGUUACCUUUUGGGUUAUGUCGAAUUAUUGAAGAUUGAUUAGCGGUCUUAGUAUCAGUUGAUAAGAAAUAUGAAAGAAACUGAAAUAGUUGAACUACGGUUAAUGAAUUCAAGAUGAGCUUUAGUUUAUCUUCAAGUAGAUUUAAACAUAAACUCAGAAGAAGUCUGUUUUUUAUUAUGUUUCUUUUAUAACUUAAAAGUAUUGUUGAUUUCUCAUUUGAAUCCUUAAUAAUAUUUCUUAUUGGAGCAGAGAAGCUCUCCAGACGUAGGGGUAUUCGACGAACUAGGUUAACAAACAAAGUCUUUUAUGUUAUUUGUUCUCUGUUAACAACUUUCAAUAUAGCUAAAGAAUAUUAUUAAUCGUCUCACUUAUUUUCAACAACAAACACAAAAUAUAUAUUAUCAUUUAAAUUUGAACUUAAUAUAUUUUUUAAAAAUAUUUAAUCGAUAUAGCCAGAGAUAAGUUGUAAUUUAAAUUGAUAUUAAUUUUAUUAUAUUAAGGUUUUCAAAAGGGAAAAUUAACAAACUAUUUACAUUCAAUUAUAAAUAUUUUGUCAAAUGUUUAGUUUUUUUACAAUUUUCUUUAUUUUUCAUAGCAAACUAUUUUUGAAUUCGUUAAAAUUUAUCGUGUAAAUCAAUUUUCUUUUUUACUCUACGACAUUUUUUCAGUUUGAGCAAAAAUUGUAUGGAAGUGUCCUUGAAUAGAACUUGGCCCUACUAGAGGAAACAUUAAUAUUGAAUAUGCAUCCCGAUAUAGGAAGGGCCCUAGUACUAGAGGUUUAGAAUUAGCAUACCUCUUCCUAAUAGUGUAUUGAAAAAAUCAUAUAUAUAAAUCGUAAAGAAAAUACAAAGUUUAAAUUUAAAUAAGUAAAAUUUUGUCUAGGAAUAAAAUAUAAAUUACUAUCGAAAAUGUAUAGAUCUUAAUUUUACAAAAAUCACUAUAGAUAAAAUGUGUAUGUUAAUACAUAUUUCUAAAAAAAAAAAAAAUUAUAGGCACAAAAGAAUUUUAAAAAAAUAAAUUUGUAAAUAAAUGCUAAAUGAAUUUUAAAAUAAUUAAAAUAUUUAUUGCUUAUAUUGUAUUUAGUAAUAUUUUAUUGUUUAUAUAACGAAAAUGUUAAUUCAAUGAUGAAUCUAUAAAAAUAUGGAAGUAUGAAAGAAAAUAUUGAUAUACUGAUGGUUUUUAGAAGAUAGAUGAUUCCAAGCUUGUAUACAAAAGUUGACAAACCUUACCUAACCAAGGUGGAUGUUCAAUCUUUUAAUUUUGAUAUAAAUAAAUAAAAUAUUAUUUAUUAACUAGAGGUUUUUUUUUUAUAAAGAUACAUUUUAAAUAACAAAACUUUUGAAAAUUUUAAAAAGAUCUAUUUAUACUCCAAAAAUAUUGCAACUAUUUACAAACUAAAAAAUUCAUAUCUCUACAGCCAUUUGAAAAAAAAAUUGCUAUUGUGACAAAUCUCUAUAUAAAAAAUUAAUAAUAAAAAAAUUAAGAAUCUUUUAAUCCAAAAUAAAAUAAAGAAUACUUGCCGCGCUCAUUGACCUUCAAUUAAAACAGCGUAAGCUGUGAGAAACAAAAAUUGUGCUCACCGAAGCUUCAUUCAAUAAGAAAUCAUAAGCCGAAUUCCUAAAAUCCUCUCGUUCUUCUCGAUUUUCCACCGCCAUUUUCCAUGGAUUUCCCUAAGGUUUCCGCUGGAAAUUAUGUGAUUCCAUCUCUUCUCUUCGCCGGAAUUCUCUUAUUUUGCAUUACUGCUUCCUCUGUUUUGAGUCCUUUCCCUUUUCUCUCCAACGGACGCCAAUGCAGCAGCACGAAGCUUCCUAAUCAGGUCUCAAUCCUGCAAUCGCAUUCUCUGUAUCUAUUUUUUUUAAUUCAUCGUGAAAUCCUUUUGGACUAAUUUUAACAGCGUAAUCUUAGUGAUUUUGACUCUGUUUUGCCUCGCUACUCGUGAUUCGUGAAGUCACCUAUCAUUUUCGUGUUUUCUGCAAUUUAGAUUAGAUUGUGUGAAUUGGUUCUGGAUUAACUGCUUUGGAACAUCAUUUGUGAUUUCAUUCCUUCUUUGUCAUUUCUUGUGUAAUUUAGAUUUCUUUGAAUUGGUUCCGGAUUAACUCUUGCUGAACAGUAAUUGUGAUUCAUUUAUUGCUGAACAUGACUAGUGAUCUCAUUCAGUCUUGAUCAUUUUUGUGCAAUUUCAAAUCGGUUAUGUGAAUUUGCUGAACAUGACAAGUGAUUUGAUUCUGUCUUUAUUAUUUUUGUGCAAUUUUGAAUCGAUUUCUAUGAAUUGGUUUUGGAUUACUUGUUGCUGAACAUUACUAGUUGUCUGGUCCUGUCUUUUUCAUUUUUGUGUAAUUGCGAAUUAAUUGUGCGAAUUCACUAUCGAUUUUGUGUAAUUUGACACUGAUUACGAACUCGUUCUGGAUUCAAUUUUUGUAGAAUAGCACCAGCGAUUAUGAUUCUGUUAAACCACGAGACGAGCUUGAAUUGGCUCUAGCCAAAGCGUCAAUGGCGAACAAGACGGUGAUAAUCGCCGUCGUAAACAAGGCGUACGCCAAUCAAGAAACCGGAGCGGUUACGACUAUGCUGGACGUGUUUCUUGAUAGUUUCUGGCUGGGAGAAGGCACACGGCCUUUGGUAAAACACAUCCUUCUCGUCACCGUGGAUCAAACGGCGUACGACCGGUGCCAGUUCCUUCAUCUGAACUGCUUCCGGCUGGUAACGGAUGGCGUCGAUUUCGGCGGCGAGAAGCUUUACAUGUCGGAGGAUUUCAUCAAGAUGAUGUGGAGAAGGACUCAGUUUCUCUUGGAAGUCCUCAAACGGGGAUACAACUUCAUCUUCACGGUACGUUCUCUUAUUUCGAGCAUAAUUUUAUAUAUUUCUUUCUUUCUCCAAUCAAUCAUUUUUCGAAAAAAAUAAUUUCAUUUUCAACUGCAUCAAUUUUAUUUAAUCAACAUCUAAUGCCGAUAAAUCUUAGUAACUUACGCUUUCAAGUUUAACCCUACUAAUUAAGAAUUCUUUGAAAAGUUGAAAUAUGACUCCUUUGGAGAUGCGGAAAAAAUAUAGAUUUACAAAACUCAUUCUAUCAUUCUCUUAAUAACCACUUUCUUUUCAAUUGGAAUUGAAAUUUAUAAACUAAGAAAAUAAAUAAAUAAAUUAUUUGAAAAGGUACGUGACGCUACUUUCAAAAUCUAUAAAAUAUUUUAGUUCAUUAGUCAAACUUAUUUUUUUGAUUGAAAUUAUUGAGUUUGUAAACAUGUUUUAGGUUGAAAUUAGUAGAGAAUUAAUCCAAAGUUAAAGUUCUAAUUAGUUUUAGGGUUCAAUUUAUGAAAUGGAAAUUUUGAGGUAUAAGUUGAUCUCUUUUACUCAUUUACUCUAACUAAAUUGCUUAAACUAUUACUUUGAUAAAUUUUGUAGAAGAAGAUUUUCUUUGGUGUGACCUCAACCAACUAACUUGAUUUACGAAGGAAAUUUAUGAAAUCCAAAUAUUAUAACUAAGAAUAAUAAAAUUAAGAAAAUAUCUUCAAUGAAAUCUAAACAGAAAAAGAAAUAUCAAAAUUUAACCAUUACUAUUUUAUAUAUAUAUAAAAAAAGAGUAUUACUGUGAUUAUGUUUAUUUGAUUACGUAGGGUGUUGAUUCAAUUUGUAUUCGUUAUCUAACGAAUGAAACUAAUAUAAACUUUUGUAAUUAAGGAAAAAAGUAUUAACUUAGUUUAGAAUUAUUUUCACCCCUCAAAUUCUGUUAAAAUGUUUCACUCAUAUUAAUGCUGGGAAUAGUUCAUAAUGACGGCUUUAUUAUAUUUAGGGCAACAAUUAGGUUUGACUUAGUUUUUACCUAAUUUUAUUCUCUUAAUUUUGUAAACACACAGAAAACAACAAACAAAAUUGCUACACAACAGUUUUUUACUGAACAAGUUCUUGAACGAAAUAGAGAUAGAUGUUGCCUUGGAUCAUCCAAGUUUCUUUUUUUUAAAAAAAAAAUUAUUGUAUUUAAGCAUGCACUAUUUUUAACUUUUAUUUAUUUAUUUCAUAUCUUGCACCCUUUUUUAACCUUUAGCAAUUGAUUUACCUCUUUUUAUGUAUAAAAAUUGAUUUUUCUUUUUUUUUUAGGAAAUUGAUUUAACUAUUUGAUUUAUGCUUCCAAUAGAAAUAUUCUUAUAUGUCGAGCUUUAAAAGAAGAUUCCUAGAUACAAAACAAUUAAUAAAGAGAUGGUCAAAGGCUUUUUAUAUAAAUCUAAAAUAUUUAAAUGCUAUUUGAUCCAUGUGGAUUACUGUUUAGUAUUUGAAUGUUGUUGGUGUUCUUCAUAUAAUUACAUCGUACAACUAGUCUAAAAUAAACACCAGGAAGACCCUCUAGUUCAUCUGUCAAUUAUUAAAGAAAAAAAAAAAGCGUAUAUUCAACUCUCUAGUUCAUCUGUCAAUUGAAAAUUUCUGAACAAUAUGGCUGGCUAGCUGUUUUGAAUUGUUAAAUGUAUGGUAGGGAAACUCAAAAACAAAUGAAAACCCUCAAUUCAUACCAUGUGCUAUUUGGCAACCAUGGAUUUUUUAAUAUAAUUCCAUUGCAUCAUCAAUAAUUUUGAUUGAAUUACACAUUUAAAAACUUUUGAAGAUUCAAAAUUAUACCAUGUUGAAAUUUUAUUUAUUUCUUUAUUUUUAAAUUCAGGAAUCUAUUAUAGAUUAAACAAAAAAAAUAUGUAAUUUCAUUGAAAAUAAAAUCUAAAUUUAUAUCUAAUUGAACAAUCAAGUUUUUUAAAUUAAAUUUUAUCAAAAUUUAUUAGAAACAACUUUGAAAGUUUUGAAAAUUUAGAGUUAAUUGAACACCAUUUGCAUUUUUUUUAUUUAAUUUGGAAUAUGAACAUUUUUAAAAUAAUAAAUUAUUAAAACUAUUUACCAGAUCUAGUGAAAUUAAUCAAUAUCUCUUUUAAUAUAUAUUUUUUUAUUAUCCAUAAUAAUCUCCAUUUGAAAUGUGUGUUUGUUCCAAUUUAUACUAUACAAAUACCCUCCAAAAUUGAAAAAGGAAAAACAAGUUUUUAGAAUUUAGUGUAUUUGAAAACGCUUCCAAACAAUAGCAAUGAUAAAAUUGGUAUCUGUGAACUUAAUUAAAAAUAAAUAAAAAAUCAAUGAGAAACUCAUUGGACAGAGAUCACAAUUGUUAUUAUUAUUAUUAUUAUUUUGGGAGAAUGGCCCAAUGAUAUCUUAACAUCUAGAGCGAUCAAAACUUAAAAAGUCUACAUAUACACAAUGAACAAGAUUUGACUUUUAAAAUCUUAAAUUUAUUUACUAAAUAAAUGGUGAAGUUAACAUCAUUCACUAGUUAUGGGUGUCAGUGUGUUAUUAAUUUAUUAGAUGAUUUAUUCCCAGCGAGGGGAAUUUUAUUUUAUAUUAGUAGCUUAUUUGGAUUGUUUUUUAGUAUAAUAAUUAUUGGGGAGAUUCAACCUUUUAGAAGAUGAGAUGCAUAUCUCAAAAUCAAAGCUUAUUUUAGGUAAAAUAUGAAAUGAUUUUUAAUUAGUUUUUAGAUAAACUUAUAAUUCAAUUUAAUCGUUAGACAGAUAGUUUUUUGAAAAAAAAUAAAUUUUCAUCAUCUUUUCCUAUUUAGUUUCUUGAUCACAAUUUAAAUAGCACUUCUUGGUUAACUUCAUGUGUUUUAGUCUUCAUCUUUAAAUUUAUUGCAAUGUUUGCUUUUGUCCCUUGCUAGAGUAAAAGAACGAAAAUUAGUUUCUUUUUUCAUUCAUGAAUGUUAAACUUGGUUUAGAUAAGUUCAUAUUUGAGAAUAUGGUUGGAGAUUUUGAUUUCUAAUAUUGAUUCAUAUAAUAUAAGUAUUUGAAAAUUUACAAUGUUGUAAACACGGUGAUGAUUAGUGUAGUAUUGAAGAAACAAUUAUCGAAUGGAAAUCUCUCGUCUCAUACUUAAAAUUCUAAUUAAGUAUGGAGAAAAUUAAUUCUCGUUAAGGUAGAUGAGAGUUUAUACUCACCCAUCCAAUGGUAGUAGGCGAAGAAUUGAUCCUCACCAUCCAAUAGUAUUAGGUGGAGAUCAAUCCUCACCAUCCAAGGGUGAUAUGUGGAGAUGAAUCUUCGCCUCCCAAUUAAGGAAGAGAGAGUAUAAAUACUCUUUGGAUGUCUCAUUUGGGAGAUAGAUUGGAAAACCAAAUCAAAGUCUCUCUUUCUCAAUGUAAGUGUUCUCCCUUUCUUUGUCUUACUUUCAUAAUUCUUCAUUCACAUUCAAGCAAAAGAAGGCGAGAUCUCGAAAUCAAAAGGAGGGACAAGGAUGAAGACUGGUAGAAGUUUCCCAAAUGAGUAGGCUUAUUUGUCUUAUCGGAUUCUUCGUUAUGAGAGAAUUGAAUCAGUCUUCUUUGAAUUAAUAAAGACAGAAGAAAAAUCUGUUACCGGGGUCACUCAAGGGAAUAAAGGGGUCGGGCGAGUCUAUUCCGCGUAUGAUCUCUUUCUGAAGAGAGAUCUUUAGUACUUUCUCUCUAUUUGUCUUACUUUAAUAAUUAUUGAGGUUAUCAUGGUUAAACUCUUGUUCAGUUCUUUUUAUUCCUAGCUAGAAAGACAUAGGGUGUACUACCAUUGGAUGGUGAGGAUCAAUUCUCCACAAUACUACCAUUGGAUGGUGAGGAUCAAAUCUCCACAAUACUACCAUUGGAUGGUGAGGAUUGAAUUCUGCAUCUACUAACAUUGGAUUGUUUGUUUUCUGUAAGAAACAAAUUUCAUUGACGAGUGAAAUUACAAAAAUUGUCAAAAUUAAAUUAAUGAGGUUACAUAAUUCCAAUUGGUCAAAAGAGAAGAAAGGGUAUAAAAACUAAAGUAAGGUACGCAACUAUACCAACUCUUGGCAUGAAAGAUAAUGAUGUCAAAAUAAUUAUCAAAGGAGGUUCCUUUGUCUUGGAAGGGUUGCUUGUUUUUCUCCUUCCAAGUGAUACAUAAGAAGAAACGAAUCAAAUGCUACCACAUUAGCUGUUUUUGCUGAGUGAAAGGAUGGUUGGAGAAUGCAGAUGUGAGGGCUGCAAUUUUGUGUCCUUGGGGAAGGCAAUGUACCAACCAAAGAAAAGGUGGACUUUCUUCCAAAACCUCUUGACAAAAUUAAAAUGUAAAAAAAGAUGAUUUAUUGAGUUCGGUCCAUUCAUACGGCUGAGGCAACAAUGUGGAGAAAUGGCAUCGUAGGAAUGGUGAAUUUGAAGUUUCUCUGUUAUGCUAAUGGUAGAGUGAUUAAUUUCCUAAAGAAAAACUUAGUUUUUCUUUUAUAGAAAUCAUUUCAAAUAGUAGCAUGGAAGGAUGCUAAGGGGGCAUUUUCAACAAGCCCCAAAUCAUAGGCCAAGGAUCUAGUUGUUAAAUGUCCUUUGGUGCCGAGCUCCAAAAACCAUUUAUCUAUGGUCAAUCAAAGGUGUGUAAUCUGUAGACUGCUCAUAAGAUCAAUUCAAUUGGAUAUCUCAUAAUCCUUUAAGUUUCUUCUGAUGAUGAGAAACCAACCAUGACUAGGUCAUAUAGAUCAUGUAUGCAAGAUCCUUUUUUAUGUUAAAACAUAUGUAAAACAAUAAUUAGCUUAUCUAACUGUUUCAAGAAAACAGUUACUUGUAACUAAUCUUGAAAUGUCAAUAAGUAAACAAUCUCUUGGCCAAGAUAGGCAGACAUUUCAUUUGAGGAAUUAAUUUCAACUUGAAUUACAUCACUUUUUGUGUGUACAAGUUGUAUAAUCCAGGAUAGAGCUCUUUGAGUGCAGAGAUUUUGUUCCACCUCUUAUCUAAAAAAGAAGUGUCCUUUUUUUUAUCGACGACAUUAUAUUGAUUCUGACUUUAUCUUUGAUAAGAGCCACGAAAUCCAACAUGUCUCUCCAAGGACGCCUAGCGUAAUUAGAAAAUGAGUGGUUUGGCUAAAGAGUCAUGAGGGAGCUAUACGCUUCAUAUAUUUAUCAUCAAUCACCUGUUUCCAAAGAGUCCCACCCUUGUUAUAGUAUCAGCAAACCCACCUAGCAAGAAGGACAAUGGUUCUUGUCACUUCUCUUAAUACCAAAGCCACCCUAAGCAUGAGAAUGGAGUAACUUGUCCCAUAUAACAAGGUGGGAACCAUGUUGAGAAAUGCACCCCUCCCAUAGAAAGUUCUUGUGUAGUUUCUCCUAAUUUUAAGCAGACAAUUUGAACAAUGACGUGUAAUAGGUAGGGAGACUAGGGUGGGUGACUUGUAGAAGAGUAAGACAAGUCUUUUUUCCAAAUAUUUUUGAUGACUGGCUUUCAAAAUGAUAUCAGUUUUGGUUUUCCAAAUAAGGGAAGCCUAAGGUAGGUAUUUGGCCAAUGAUGCAAUUUAUAAUUGUAUCUAGUGGCUAUCUGCUUCAAGUUAUCAGUUGAUAAACAAGUGCUAUAAGUUCAGUUUUAUUAAGGUUGGUAUUAAAGCCUGAGACCUUCCCAAAUGACUUAAUGAUGGUGAAAAGGUUAUCAAGAGGAUCUUUACAAUAAUCAGAAAAUAAGAUGGUAUUGUUAGAUCAAUCUGUAGAGAAUUAGUUCUAAGACAAAAAAAAAACCCUUCAUUUGACCACAUGUGGUAGCAUUUAAUGAGCAUCCAUGUGAGACAAUCCAAAGUAAUGAAGAAAAAAAAAGGAUGAUAAAGGAUCCCUAUCCGAGACCUCUUGCAACUUUGAUCUUACCCCUAGGGCGGCCAUUAAUCAAAUCAAGAAAUUAGAGGAAGAAAUACUCUUAUCCACUUACACCAUGUGUCACCAAAGCCCUUUGCUUUUGGGAGAUAAUUAUCAAAUAUCAUAUUAAUCAUCACACAAUGACAAUUAUCAAAUACAUAAAUUAUAUGAAUCAAUAUUAGAAAUCAAAAUUUCUAACUGUUAUCAAUGAGCUGUCAAUAAAGAUUACAAAAUUAGAGAUAAAGUUAUAUCACUCCAAAAUAUAAAAUUAAAAAGAAUUUUUAAUUUCGAAAUUAGAUUUAAGUACUAUUAUGAUCGAUAUACAUUUAUAUUUUGCUUAUUUUAAUAAUUGUACUUCUAAAGUAUUCGUCAACACUUUUUGUUUAUAAAAUUUAGACAAAAAUGCAUAAUAAAAUCUCUGUAAGACAAAUUUAUGAUUACAUUCUAAGAAAUUUAAUGAGAAUUGUGAUUGGAAAAGUUAAGAGAAAACAAAAAAAAUGAGAUAACGGAACAGGUUACUCUAAAUUAAAAUCAAAGUAUGGGAGGGAAAAAGGAUGAAGUUUUCUGUUAUAUGUGACCAACCUAUUUCAAAUCACCAAUAUUUCUGGAUGAAUUUAGCCCAUUUUCUCUCUUGAUGGCCCAAUUAGUAACAAGGCCUAAUAAUGAAGGUCCAUUAUAUAAAGAAGCCCAAUUAAUCAGUUUUAUGAUUGAUUUCCUUGUUUCACAGGACACAGACGUAAUGUGGCUUCGUAACCCCUUCACGAAGCUGAGUCCCAACAAAACAGAGGAUCUCCAAAUCAGCACCGACGGUUUCUCUGGCAACCCAUUUGGGGAGGAGAAUUUCAUAAACACCGGAUUCUACUUUGUCCGAUCAAACAACAAAACCAUUUCCCUCUUCCAAAACUGGUAUGAUCUGAAAGACAAUUCCACAGGUAAGAAAGAGCAAGAUGUUCUUCUAGAGCUCAUCCAUGGCGGCAUCAUAGGGAAACUUGGCCUCAGAGUCCGAUUCCUCGACACCCUUUACUUCAGCGGUUUCUGUCAGGAAAGUCGGGAUCCGAGGGAAGUGACGACGGUUCAUGCAAAUUGCUGCCGGAGCAUCGUCGCGAAGGUCGGCGAUCUCCGGGCGGUGCUUUAUGACUGGAAGAAGUUUAGGGAGAUGAGUUCUCAUAAGGGGUUGGCGAAUGCGACGGCGGAGUUUAAGUGGUCGCCGCAUUCGGGGUGUUUGAAUUCAUGGAGUAACUAAUAUACAAGUUUGGUUGAAACGUCCAACAUCCUCCCCGUCGGUAACCCUUUCAUUUUUAAUAUUUUGGUUUUUAAAAAUAAAUUUCCUCUUUUUUCUCCUUCAAAUCAUGGUUAGCAUAUAAUUUUCAAACUUUGCUUUUAUUUUUAAAAAUAUUAGUAGAUGAUGGAUAGUAAUGCAAGAGCUUUAGUUUAGUUUUCAAAAAUUUAAAUUAAAAAAAAAAAAAAAACCUAAUUAGUCUAUAAAAAUCACCUACAUAUUUUGUUGUUUUAAUUUUAGAGUUGUUUUUAAAGUUGAGGUCAAAUUAAGAAAUUAAAAAAGAAAAAAAAAAGGUAGUUUUGAAAAUGCAGUUUUUACUUUUGAAAUUGUUUAAUAUAAAAACCAUGAAUAAGAAGAUGUGAGAAAAUAAGUUUAAUUUAAAAACCAAAAACAAAAAUUGAAAGGAUUACCGAUAAGUUUUAGUUGGUUUGAUUUUGGUAGGGUUGCAUAUAGAGUUUAGUGGGUCUUUUUCUUCUCUUCUUUUAUAGUUUAAGUGGUGGUGGGAGUAUGAGGGUUCGACCUCCAACCUUGACAUGAUGUAGAUGUCAAUUUUAAUGUUAUGCUCAAUCUAACCAAUAACUUAAAUUAAAUAAAAUAUAUUUAUAUUUCAAUCUUGCCUAGUGAUGCAUCACUCCCACGGAUUUAUUAAGAGAUCAGGGAUUCACGUCACAUUUUCAAUUUUUGUAUUUUAAUAUUAAUUUUGUAGUGUUAGAUUAUAAUAUAUAUUAAAUAAUAUUACUAAAUCAUGUCUCUGGUAUUGUGGUUGUGUCCCUUUUAAAGCCUCAAGGUCCUUGAUUUGAAUCUUGUCUACUACAUCUACAUAUGAUUUUUGGAUCGGCUUAUUCAUCAAUCUCACGCAACUGUUUACGCUCAACAAAAGUAUACUUCUAAAAUUAAAAAGUAUCAAAUUAGUACACAUUUGUGUAUACGUGGUCUCCAAACCUUUUUUUUUUAAAAAAAAAAUGCCUUAGUUUAUGAAUUUUAAUUUUAAUUGUGUACAUAAACUUGAUUCUCUAUGGGUAGUACUAAAAAUUUGAUGACUCUUUUUCAUUAGAAAAAAAAGUCGACUUUCUUUCUAAUUAAUUUGUACAACAAAUGAAGGGGUAGAAAUUCCAACUUCCAAUUUUAGAAAAAAAGUACUCAUAAUGUUAAUUGCUAACACAUGUUCUUUUUAUUUCUCAACAAAAUUUAGUCACAUCUACUUUUAUAAAAGUAAUUCUCUUAUUAAAAAAGGUAUAGAGUAGGGAAUAAGUUUUUAACAAAAUCACCCAAAAAAAUAAUUAAUGAAUAAUUUUGAUUAUAGUAUUAUCAUGAUAGAAUUAAUCACAUGUCAUAUUUACAUAAAAUAUCUAAUAAAUGCAAAUUUUAAUUCCAUGUGAUGUUUCACUUUCCUUAUUUCAUUUUUCUAUUUUUUUAGUAUAUUAUUAAUAAUAAGGAUCGUUAAUUUGGUCUUUUCAACUCUAUAUUUGUAUAACAUUAAGGUCCAUUGAACAUUUAUGAAAAAUUUGACAACAUUAUGUCUAACUUGUAAUAAGACACCUAUUUAAGAUCUCUAUUUUAAUAAUAUUAAAAAUUUGAGUCACGUUAGAUCAAUCCAAAAUUUAAAAAAUGUAAUGAACCCUAACUCGACCCAAAAAAAUCAUUAAAAAUUCAAAGUUGAGAAUGAAAAUUAAUCCAACACAAACAUUACAAAUUGGGGAUGGAUGAUCCGAAUUGUUUAGGCGCUAUAAAAGGAGCACUACAAUUAAGACCAAAGAUUAUAAAUAAAUGAAUGUGUUAAUUUUGUAAAAUUCGAAAUAUUUUCAAAUACAUUACCAUUUUGCUAUAACUGUUUUCCUAUUUAAAACACUUUCUCUUUUAAAUUUAUUGAAAUGUUCAUAAAUAAGUAUAGUUUAUUUUCUUUUCUCUUUUCUCCUUUUUUUUUUUUUUUUUUUCUCUUUUGGAUUUUUCUUUCCAUCCACAAAAAACAGAUCCUAUUCUUCUAAUGGUUUUAUAGAGAAAAAGAAAAGAAAAAAGGAGUGAUUAUGAAACAAACACGUAAACAAAUAAACUCAAAAUUAAGGCAAAGAAAGAGAAGGAACAAAAUAUCCAUAAAUUAAGGGGACAGGCAGAGAGCACCGUUUCAUAAAGACCAAAUUAAAUUAAAAGGCUUUUUCAUUCUCAUUUCUUUCUCACCGAUAAAAACGAUGACAUAGAUUUAGCAAAAAAAUUAACAAUAAAACUAAAAACAAUAACAAAGUAAUAUUUUUCACGCAACCAAAUCUUACCUUCCUUAUUUGGUCUUUCUUCAACAUUCAGACCCUUUUCCCCUUCCUUCAAACCACUAACCCCCAAACACAUUAAGAAACACACACAAGACCUCUUGAAAACUUUUCCUAACCAUAAUCACUAAGUUGUGAAAAUCAAGGCUCCACAAUUCUCCUCUCAGUACCUGUAGUGAGCAGGCUUGUAUGGUCCCUCAACUGGCAC
rnacentral:lncRNA from 1 species